GGGCCCCUGCCGUGCGCGUGAUCGUUGGCAGAGUUUGAGCCAACACGAUGAGAAAGGGAUCCCUUCCGGGCGGUGGUGAGCAUCCCUGACGCCGGGGAAGCCUGAAGCGGCCCAACCGGGAACCCACCUGGUGAAAGCCAGGUUCAACUCGACCGGCGACACGGCAUUCGCGGGGGCACU
rnacentral:other from 1 species